AUGCACGCAAAAGGUGUGUCUGCUCCUAAAGUGAUCGUCCUGCCGCCGUCCAGUGAAGAGAUUUCCAGCAAGAAGACAGCAACAGUGAUGUGUGUGGCCAGCAAUGGUUUCCCUUCAGACUGGAGUCUGAGCUGGAAAGUGAAUGGGAAGAUGUCAGGAUCUCAGGAGAACAGAGCUGGAGUCCUACAGAAAGACGGCGGUCUGUACAGCUGGAGCAGCAGUCUGACUCUCACUGAACAAGAAUGGAUCAACAGAGACUCAGUGAUCUGUGAGAUCAGUCGGGAAGGUCAGACAGUCACUGGAGAAGUGAAGAAAGAUCUGUGUUCUGAGUAG